rnacentral:rRNA from 1 species
CAAAAACAUAGCUGUGCGUUAUUACUCACAGUAUUUUCUGCUCAAUGAGGUAUUAAAUAGCCGCAGUACCCUGACUGUGCAAAGGUAGCGUAAUCAGUUGUCUUGUAAUUUAAGUCUCGAAUGAAUGAAUAUAUGGGGGCCCACUUUACCAAUAGUAGAAAAGGAAAUUGUUAAAUGAGUGCAAAUGCUCAUAGCAUUUAAAAGACGAGAAGACCCUAGAAAUUUUGAACAUUUUUUGUUGGGGCAACAUAGUACCAAAUAAUUUACUGUAUGUAUAUGUAAUAGAUUAGGAAGCUUAAAUUACUCUAGGGAUAACAGCAUAAUUUAAAAGCGUUUGUGACCUCGAUGUUGGAUUAGGAAGUUAUAACUUAAAAGGUGAAUAAUCUCGCUCUGUUCGAGCG